rnacentral:rRNA from 1 species
AUUGAACGCUGGCGGCAGGCCUAACACAUGCAAGUCGAACGAGUGGCGGACGGGUGAGUAAUGUCUGGGAAACUGCCUGAUGGAGGGGGAUAACUACUGGAAACGGUAGCUAAUACCGCAUACCAUCGGAUGUGCCCAGAUGGGAUUAGCUAGUAGGUGGGGUAAAGGCUAACCUAGGCGACGAUCCCUAGCUGGUCUGAGAGGAUGACCAGAAACACUGAAACUGCGACAGGGGCCAGACUCCUACGGAAGGCAGAAGUGGGGAAUAUUGCACAAUGGGCGCAAGCCUGAUGCAGAAAUGCCGCGUGUAUGAAGAAGGCCUUCGGGUUGUAAAGUACUUUCAGCGGGGAGGCGUUACCCGCAGAAGAAGCACCGGCUAACUCCGUGCCAGCAGCCGCGGUGAUUC